rnacentral:lncRNA from 1 species
CUGCCGACACCAAUGUGUACUAGACCACCUAGGACGUCGACACAUGCUCCUAGCUUGAGAGUGUCAAUGGGGCAAGUCUCUUGCUUUGGCGGUGGUGGUGGGCAUGGCACUGGAGGUGGUGGAGGAGGAGGGCAUGGCGUUUCAGUUGGUGGUGAUGGUGGUUUUACAGGUGGGGUCACUGGAGGCUUUGGUGGUGCUGGGGUUACAGGUGGACUUGGAUAGUAGGGUGGCGUUGGAGUUACCGGAGGCUUUGGUGGUAAAGUUGGUGGUGUUGGGACCACCGGAGGUUUAGGUGGUAAAGUUGGUGGCGUCGGGACCACCGGAGGCUUUGGUGGCAAAGUUGGUGGUGUUGGGGUCACCGGAGGCUUUGGUGGUAAAGUUGGUGGUGAUGGGGUCACCGGAGGCUUUGGUGGUAAAGUUGGUGGUUUCGGUGGGUAAACGAUAGGCGGUUUUGGAUAAUAUGGUGGCGGUUUUGGUGGUAAAGUUGGUGGUUUCGGUGGGUAAACGAUAGGCGGUUUUGGAUAAUAUGGUGGCUUUACAACAGGAGGUUUGGGUACCAAAGGUGGCGGCUUUACUACAGGAGGUUUUGGCACAUAGGGUGGGUGAACAAUUGGAGGCUUGGGUGUGAUAGGUGGUUUAGGCACAUGUGGCG